rnacentral:sRNA from 1 species
CAACCUAUCUAUCGCUGCCAACCUAUCUAUCGCUGCCAAUUUAUCUACCACUGCCAAUCUAUCUAUUGCUGCUAAUCUAUCGCUGCUGUCAAUCUAUCUAUCGCUGCUAAUCUAUCUAUCGCUGCUAAUCUAUCGCCGCUGCCAAUCUAUCCCUCACUGCUAAGCUAUCCCUCGCUGCUAAGCUAUCACUGCCAAUCUAUCGCUGCUAAUCUAUCGCUGCCAACCUAUCUACCGCGGCGAAUCUAUCUAUCGCUGCCAAUUUAUCUACCACUGCCAAUCUAUCUAUCGCUGCCAAUCUAUUGCUGCUGCCAAUCUAUCUUUCGCUGCUAAUCUAUCGCCGCUGCCAAUCUAUCUUUCGCUGCCAAUCUAUCUAUCGCUGCCAAUCUAUUGCUGCUGCCAAUCUAUCUUUCGCUGCUAAUCUAUCGCCGCUGCCAAUCUAUCCCUCGCUGCUAAGCUAUCCCUCACUACUAAGCUAUCUAUCACUGCUAAUCUAUCGCUGCCAACCUAUCUAUCACUGCCAAUCUAUCUAUCGCUGCUAAUCUAUCGCUGCUAAUCUAUCGCUGCUAAUCUAUCGCUGCUAAUCUAUCGCUGCCAACCUAUCUACCGCGGCGAAUCUAUCUAUCACUAUCAUUACUAGUUCAAAAUAGAACUAGAGCAUAAAUACACUAAACUUCUUUUGAUAGGUAAUGAUUUUUGGUAACACUCAUAGCAUUAUAUCAUCUAUAUAGGGUAAAUCAUGGUCCCAUUUGGUCCCAUUUUAACAAAAUGGGACCAAAUGAGACCAGAAUCAGUAAUUUAUAAGAAGAACAUGACCUGGGACUAGAUUUAUAAUAUAAACAGUGUAAAGUGACUAAUUUAAUAAACACUAUAUGGGACCAGGACUAAGAAAUUUGAUAAUGGAACUGGCA